UACAGAGGUCUCAAGCGUUGUUCGGAUUCAUUGGGCGUAAAGGGCGCGUAGGCUGCGGGGCAAGUCGGGUGUGAAAUCUCAGAGCUCAACUCUGAAACUGCACUCGAUACUGCUUUGCUUGAGGACUGGAGAGGAGAUUGGAAUUCACGGUGUAGCAGUGAAAUGCGUAGAUAUCGUGAGGAAGACCAGUGGCGAAGGCGGGAUCUCUGGACAGUUCCUGACGCUGAGGCGACGAAGGCCAGGGGAGCAAACGGG
rnacentral:rRNA from 1 species